UACGGGAGGCAGCAGUGGGGAAUAUUGCACAAUGGGCGCAAGCCUGAUGCAGCCAUGCCGCGUGUAUGAAGAAGGCCUUCGGGUUGUAAAGUACUUUCAGUCGUGAGGAAGGUGUUAAGGUUAAUAACCUUAGCAAUUGACGUUAGCGACAGAAGAAGCACCGGCUAACUCCGUGCCAGCAGCCGCGGUAAUACGGAGGGUGCGAGCGUUAAUCGGAAUUACUGGGCGUAAAGGGCACGCAGGCGGUUAAUUAAGUUGGAUGUGAAAUCCCCGGGCUUAACCUGGGAAUGGCAUUCAAGACUGGUUAGCUAGAGUCUUGUAGAGGGGGUAGAAUUCCAUGUGUAGCGGUGAAAUGCGUAGAGAUGUGGAGGAAUACCGGGUGGCGAAGGCGGCCCCUGGGACAAAGGACUGACGCUCAUGUGCGAAAGCGUGGGGAGCAAACAGGGAUUAGAUAC
rnacentral:rRNA from 1 species